GGCCCGGUUCGAAUCAACACAUCUAUCCAUGAAGCGAGCGUAUGGUACGGAUUGACCGACCGACUAUGCGGCCUCUAGAAGAGCGACGGCCAAGAGCGUUCUCCAUCAAACAUCAUUGUCUUCAUCGUAUUGGAACGUGAAGCUAAAGUGCUCUAGGAACCAUACAAAUAGCGCGAUUGUGAAUUACUUUUAUGUGCGUAUUUAGUUCAAAUAAGGCUAAUUCAUUCUGCCAGUGUUCCACGACACGCGCGGAACUUGGAACACACCGCUGGAUGAAAAUGUUUGGGACUCAGCUGAUUAGUGACUCUUAUACCUACUUACUACUCAGAUUAGCAAGCCUAAAUGCUAAUUAAGAAAAUCGGUUCAAAUGUUUUUCUAAGUAACUAUUGGAGGAAAAUUGAGUGAGAUUCAUUUCAACAUAACUAGCAUAAAUGGUUCGAAUUGGCUUGCAAUAAUAUAGCUGGUAUGUAAUUGAAAACAAUACUAUCCUGGAAUAAAAUAAACAAUGUGGCAAGAGAAUGUCAAAAAAUCUAACAACAUUUCCAAUCUGAAUUAUAUUUAUGCUUGUGGAGAUCUCUCUCUCUUUUCACACACUUUGCCUAUGCUGCCACAUAUAGCAUACCCAUACUCUCUCGUAUAGCGCAACAUUACGGCCAUUUCAACCAUGUUUUGGUGGCGCCCUGGAUUGUUUUAUGAUCUCUUUAUAACGUAUAGGCGGUACACGAUUCGAUUUGGCUUUGCUCAAUCGUGACAAACGUGCGACUGCGCCCUGCAAAACCGCCAAAGCACGUGGUCUACAUGUUGGCUAGCUUAAAUUUACAAGUUGUCAUUCAUACAGUAGGAAAUAGGAUAACUUUGGGUAUUAUCGACAUGUUUAUUCUCUUCGGUUUUGGUCGGUCAAAUUGCCUGAAUCUUGGUCGUAGAAUUCAGCUUGGAUGGGGAAGAUUUUAAGCCAACUUUGAGUUUCAUGGGUUAAAAAAACAUAAAUAAGAGAAUAAAGCUGGCGAUAUACAUAAGUACCUAUAAUUGUUUACCGCCAGUGAUUGCCAAUAGAUUAGCUAAGAUUUUCUUUGACAGAUGUCUACGGAAAGGUCUGGGCCAUGAUGGUAUCAAUGUUGCAUAUAGUUCGAUUUCCGAUCGGUCCAGAAACUUGACUUCCUUGGACACAGAGUAUCAUCGUGCCUGCCACACGAUUCAUUUUAUUUAUUUAGUUUAGUUUAGUUUAGUCAAAUUCAUGAUAACACUGAAUCAACAAUUUGCCGUUAUAAUACUCGAUUUGUAGCUACAGCUCUCCAGCGUCGGUCACGCCCAACGCUCGCCAGAUCACGCUCCACAUGAUCCGCUCUCUGCGCUCCACGCCUUCUUGUGCCAACUGGAUGGUUAGCAAACACCAAAUUUGCAGGGUUGUGGUCUGGCAUUCUUGCAACAUACCCUGCCCAUCGUAUUCGUCCAGCUUUAGCCACUUUAAGGAUGUUGGGUUCACCGUAGAGUGCAGCAAGCUCGUGGUUCAUCCUUCGCCGACACACACCGUUCUCCUGCAUGCCGCCGAAGAUAGUCCUUAGCACGCGUCGCUCGAAAACUCCGAGUGCUUGCAGAUGCUCCUCGAGCAUCGUCCAUGUCUCGUGUCCGUAGAGGACCACCGAUCUUAACCUUCCGGGACGCGCGCCGUCAAGCAACCGGAACUGCACCACGCUCGCGCUGUAUACGAAAAGCGAGGUUUUUUGGUAGUGUUGUACUUUUUACAACAGCGCGCGCGCUGAAGGGUUAACAGCGUCUUGUACACUGUUAUAAAUUUUGUUGUAGAAGCUACCGAUUUCAUUGUUAAAUUAAUAACCGUACCUAUAAUUCUCAACCAACAACAAUUUCCAGUCAAUUCCACUAAAACACUGUCAGUUUGACUAGCAGUGCAGUUGACAUUACCAAAAAUAAUUUUAAUUCAACAGCUGUACAUUGUAUUUUUAACUAUACUGUGUUGUAAGAUGCGUGUCCAGGAAAAAUUGACAAUGUUUUGUUGUUGAGAUGACUACGCUUUUUGUCAAAAUUGCUGCAAUGCAUUGUAACUUCAAUCAUAUUUCAGUUAACUUCACAGAUUUUGUUGUCGGUUGAGAAUCAUAGGUACGGUUAGUAAUUUUACUAUGGAAUCGGUAGUUUCCACAUCAAAAUUUAUUUCAGUGUACAUGGUACCGCAGACAGACGUUCAAGUUUGACUCAGCAGCUUGUGUAAAAAACAUGGCCGCCACAAAUUGCCGAGUGGCAAUCAGCGAACAGAUGGCGUUAGCGACGUUCAUAUUCAAUCGCUGCCUCACAUCCCGAAUAGAUUAUUAUGACACAUGGUGUCGUACAUAUGAUAAGAUGUUCAUUGAUGGUAUGAUCACAUUACAAGUAAUCAUAAGUCAAUAAUUGCAUGAUUGGAGGACUCAAUGUAAGAUCAUUCAAUACUUUUCAUGAAACAUAAUAACAAUGAUAACGAUUCACUGGAUAAUAUUGGAAUGAUUCAAAUGAUUCACUUUUUCGGUAGAUUUUUUGUCAAGGUUAUUUUCUGCAUGAUUUUCUGAUAAUUUCAAGAUGCAACGGCACAAUUUCGAUUUGAUUAUAACAUUAUCCACAUUUACCUCGCUAUCUGUAGCACCAUCUGAGAGUAUUAAAAGCUCUGAAAACCUUUCUGAACGCACAAUCUCUUUUUGUUGACUUCUUCCAGAUAGUUUAUUGAAAGGUUUUAGGCCCACUGACACUCGCGGCUUGAUAAAAUAAUUAUUUGGAGGGUACCUCCGUUGUUGCAAAUAUCUCCACUUAUUGCAAAUUGUAUCUGGAAACACCCGAACUACAUUUCCAGGCACUAAGAGUUGAUGUGAUGAUACAGGUCCUUGGUGCAAUUUCUCACAUGAUCCUCUAAGGCUUGCUCCAAGACUACUACAUUGGUCAUUUUUAUUACAAGAUUUCUUCCAUCUACACUCUACUUUUCCACCUUUAAAACAUGAUCGCUUUAAAACUAUCCGUGAGCACACAGUUCAAAUGGUCUAAUGGAAUAAAGCGCGAUGAGCAAGGAUUAAUCCCGAUAUCCACACUUCGACUCCAGAUCGUGGAGAAAAUACUAAAAAAAAACGACUAAAAUGUAAACAACGAUUCCCAUUAUGAUUCACAAAGCUGGCAGAUACCGCGGAAAAUACCGCAGGGGUGUAUCAUUUUUUUGUCGAUAAUGCAGAUCCGAUGAAAUAUUUCCGCUUUAUUUUUUAUUAUUCCCUGUAUGAUAAAGCGAAUGAUAAAGUUAUUAUAGCAUGAACGAUAUCGUAAAAUUUUUGUUCGAGAAAAAAGGCGUUUUUGAAUGGUAACGAUACUUAACAACCCAUUCGGUCUAUCAUCAAAUAUCCGAAUAUCAUAUCUGCUAUCAUCCAAAUGAUUCAGGCUAUCAUUGGCUUACAAUCCAUUAUACGACUACAUGUAUGAUCAGAAAAUUAUUACCUGUAUCAGCACUGUAUGAUACCGUUUUAUUCGGGAUGUGCGUUGCGACCAACAACUGUCACUACGGUCGUCUUCCAGCCGGAUGGCGGGAACAGACCGCACGUGUUGCACGCUAAUAAUGUUUCCACAUAAUUUGUGCAGAGUAAAUGACUUUUAUUUAAUGUCUAAAAUCUUUUGCACAAAUUAGCGCAGGACUCUUGUAAAAUAUUUUACACAUUAUUACUUUUAUUUUACAUAGAUUUGCUUGAAUAAAACUGCAUUUGGAUGAACUUCACUCGCAUUGGGAAAUCUUUGUGAAUGUGACACAAAUGUACGAAUGAUUUUGACAGUGUUUGUUUUGAUUUUAUUUUUCGGUGGGUGGUGAAUUGGGUGGUAAGCAAGCGGCUGGAAGCACGUGGUUUCUCAAACUGUCAACUGCACGCGACUGCACUGUGGCAAUCGGUUGCCUAGGUGUCGCUAGUGAAAAUUUACAUAGAAAAUUUGAAUAAAUUUGUUCGAGCUAGAACGUCUGUCUGCGAUGGUACAUUUCGUGCGGGGGAGAAUCUUUUUUGGCCGCAGUUUCUUCUGGAUCCUGUAGUAGGCACGACUUCCACUGAUGAUGCGCCUGCGUAUUUCACGAUUUGCCGGCUGUUCGGGCUCGAAAGGAGUUGAUCAACAAUAUUAAUUUCUAUUCCCAAUCAGCCUAGAUAGUGCCGUAUAGUGUCGGUAGCAGUUCCUUCAACUGGCUAAGAAUAACACUACGGACCGUCUGUUCCGGUGGUAAGAGUCCACUAACAGGUUACCCCUAAUUCAUAAUGUCAAGCGGCUUAAUGCGUACCGUGCCUAGGAAUGAAUGGUUAGGGGUCUAAUAAAAACCUAGCCGCUAACGGUGCCUGUGGAGUACCCUCUAUAGUAUUUUGCCCUUACUGUUAAACGGAGCAAUGACGCAGUGGACCUUAUUUGUCUCCGGGAUAAGGGAACGUUCAAAAAUUACGUCCACCAUUUGGGGGAGGGGGGGUCUAGAAAAGUGUGACAGUACGUGUAUUAGGUAUAGGAAAAUAGCGUGACAGAGGGGGGAGGGGGGGCCUAGAAAUCCCAAAAAAUAUGGACGUAAUAUUUGAAUCUUCCCUAAUAGGCUACUUUUCUUAAGCCUCAAUUCCGAGGCUUAACAAAGUGGGUAAAUGUAUAUUUUCAUGACAGAAUUCAAGUUUGUACAGGAAAGCCUUCAUCACGCAAAAGGUGCUUCUGCUGUUGUUGGGUAUCAUGCGUGGGACCCGGAUCGUCAAGGGUUAAUUAUUGUAUUCACUAUACACGUAGAACAUACAUUGUAAACCACACACACACUGAAUUACUCUAAAUUGUUAACUAUAAUUUGGGACCGUGCACAAAUUACGUCACGCUUUUAGGGGGGAGGGGGGGUUCUGCAUAACGUGAUGGCCCAUACAAAAAAUAUUGAGGUCCCAUACAAAAAGUGUGACAUAGGGGGGAGGGGGGUUGAAAAAGGUCGAUUUUUGCGUGACAUAAUUUGUGUAUCACCCC